rnacentral:rRNA from 1 species
CACACCGCCCGUCACACCAUGGGAAUUGGAUCUACCCGAAGGUGGUGCGCCAACCUGCAAAGGAGGCAGCCAACCACGGUAGGUUCAGUGACUGGGUG